UAUGGCCUUCUUCAGAGCGUCCCUCUUAGGUUUGCUCUCUUUCUUCUACUUCUUUGCAGGCUUUUCUUUUCUUUUCUUGAGACUUUCUCUUGGAAGAUACUCGCUCAACAGCAAGAAUAGAGCUCCUUGAACUUUUCAAGGUACCCUCAGUAGUGACUAGCAUGUUGACCAACUCAGAUAAAUUACAGUCUAAUUUAGUCAUAUGGUAGUAUAUGAUAAACUAUCUAAAUGAACUAGUCAGAGAUUGGAGGAUCAAAUCCAUCUUUAACUCCCUCUGUAUAUUAAGCCUGAGCUUCUCAAGCUCCUCAAGGUCCUUGAUCAUUGUCAUAC
rnacentral:lncRNA from 1 species